GAGGAUGCGGUGCUCGAUGCGGAAGAAGGGGCUGCACCCGGAGAUCUACGAGGACGCGAAGGUGUACUGCAACGGGGAGCUGGUGCUGGUGACGGGGGGAACCAAGCCGGAGUACACGGUGGACGUGUGGUCGGGGAACCACCCCUACUACGUCGGCGACACGUCGGCGAUGGUCGUCAUGGACAGCCAGAUCGAGAAGUUCCGCAAGAAGUGGGGCCACAUCAAGGAGUACUGGCCCGAGGACCAGUGGAGGGAGAUGCACCCCGACGGCGACCCGGAGUUCGACCCGGAGGAGGAGGGAUCCGCCGGCGCCAGCUGAGCCCCCGCUUCGCCUCUCGCCUCCGCCGCCGGCCUCGCCGGUGCGGUUUCUCUUGGUUGAUUUUGGGAAUUGCGUAAAAUGGAUUAGCUCCUCUUGCUUGCGCCUCUCGUUACACGUGCAUUCGCAUUGCUCUCUAG
rnacentral:misc_RNA from 1 species